UAAAACAGUGAAUGGAUUCAUUGAUGUGCUGUGCGUUAAGCAAUGACAGCUGUCUAUUGAUGGAUUUGCUCUUGAACUUUCCUUUCAUUUUCCUUUCCUUGAAUAUCACCAGGGGGAACCUUCAAAGGCUGGUGGGCCAAAGGCACUCAGUGUUCAGUGAGAACCAUGACCUUCCAGUUCAUCCUGCAUCCCCCUCUGUCAACCGGGUCUGCCAUCUCCAUAGAAGUAACCAAUCCGCUGAACUGUGGGCUCUGUUCUUGGAGCUCUUGCCGUCUGUGCCUCCCACCACCCCUGCCUUCUUCAGGUUUCAAUUUCUCUUUACUUCUAUUUUUAUUUUAUUUUUCUACAUAAAAAAUAUCUUACUUGGAAAGUUAGAAGGAGAGUAGCAAAGGACUCCAGCUCGAUAGCCAGAGGGGCACAGUCCGAUCCAGGGGUUUGGACCAGCCCCCGAGUUCCUCUUUUGAUGAACAUAAACGUGUUAUACUCCACAACAAUUUGGAUAUAUUCCCUACAGCUACUUGAGGAUCACACAACUUUUGUACCUUUCUAAAAGUUAAGAAGAUAGUCACAUUUCAUGGCCUGUACUCUGUAUAGAAAUAUACUGUAUGUAAAUAUACUUCUCCUAACCAUAAAACUCCAUUAUAAUGUUUGGGUUUUUUUCAAGUCGCUCAUCAGAGAAUCCCUGCUCUCCCAGGGCUAGGGAGUGUGUUGCUGCCUAACUGGACCAUGCAGUGUGGAGAUUCUGGGCUCAGCUCAAGGGUAAGCAUUUGCUGUUAGGAGAAUGCAGUUCAGUGCUUCCGGAGUGAAAACAAUGAUAGAUGACACAGCACACAGAGCUGUCAUGGCUGCGCCUGUGUAGCAGUGUCUCAGUGAAUUACAUGCGGAUGAACGGGAAACAUCUGGAGGAGUGUCCCUUGCAGCCACUCUGGUCUCGGGGGUGGGGGACGUGCUCAGCCCCUGCACCAUGUCUCCUGAACAGCAGGUGAGAACGUAUUUGGAUCCAGCCCUCGGAGCCCCUGGGAGAUGGGCCUCCGGUGGCCCUGAAGCACAUACUGGCAAGGCCCUGGUGGCAGCUCUCCUGGGGCUGUCUUUAUCGGGGAGGGAGAAAGUGAAAUGAGAUCAGAAUUGGGCAGCAGUGGGUUUCUCAAGGCAUGAGAGUCCUGAGUGCUGAGCUAAAGUCAGAUUUUAUUUCUUCCUUUGGUACGGAACUGUACGUACUCAUGUGACUCUUCUGGGAGGCAGCUUUCUAAUGAACCAGUGGGAUGGAAGGAACUUCUCAGAAUCAAGGGACUUUAAAGGACAAUCUGUGAGUGUGGCUUCUUAGCCACAGGAUGGUUAACCAGUUGAUCCUGCCAUAGGUCGGUAACCUGCAGGCCAGGCCCUCGAGGACAUCUUAUUGCCUUUAGUGACAGAGAAAGGGGCCGAGACUCUUCUUUAAGAGAGUAAAUAUUAAAGUGAUGGUUCUCUCUCUUGGUCACCUCGCAACCAGUUACUCAAGGCAGGUGCUGUGACCUGGAGCCAGCAGUUAGAGAAACUGCAGCCCAGAGGGUAGAAAUGACCGAUUUAUGAUGUCCAGCUGAUCAAUGCAGAGCUAAGCCCCAGAACAAUUUUUUGAGCCCCUAUUCCCAAACAGUCACCAGGUGGCCUGGCUUCGUGCUCCUGAUGCUGUAAGCAAGCAGGAAGUGUUCCUCUUUUCAUCCCUUUCUCACUGGAGCCCAGGGAGUAGGGCUUCCUCCUCCUUAGCCACACCGGUCAUCUUGUCUUCCCUCUCUUUCCUGCUUGGUGAGUCACAGAAUACAGCGGUCUUCAUGAAUAGGCUAGUGUUUGCAACCUGCUUUAUUCCUGCAGGAUGGAUUUUGGGGAGGAAAUUCCCCCCAAGCAGGUGAGCCAUAGUGCCAGGUAUUUAGAUCCCUUUCAGAGUCAGUAGCAUCGUCUGCUGUUUCUGCUCAGUUCCUGCCCGUUUUCUCUCCAGCUGGCCACAUCCACCUUUGUAGACCUAGAGAGGGUGCUUUCCAUGGGGGUGAGGAUGGGAUUCUUCAGUCUCAGGUGGAAACAACAGUGUGAAACCUCAGAGUUGGUCUCUUGCUUCUCUGAGCCUUGGGCUCAGAGCCUGUGCUGCUGCCUCAGGGCACCUGGCUGACCCUAGGCUCUGUGGUCCAUGCUUCCACUUGAAAUCUUUAUUCUGAUUUGUUUCCUAUGACUGUGCUUCUCUAGGACCUGCUGAUGAACCCGUCCUCUCUUUUUGCAGGUAGUACUCAUGCCCUUGGCUUUUACUUCGAUCUAGUCACCUCUGCAAGUAGGUGGGCUUGAGUUUCUCAGUUUCCUUAUCUAUAAAUGGGCACAGCAUCUAAUAUGGUUGAGAGGGAAAUGAGCCAACAUUGAAAGUAUUUAUCUUUAGGUAAUCAUUUGAAUGAUAAAUAGAUUUCCCUCUCAUUUUACUAUUAAAAUGAAGUUAAGAAGUUGAGUGGCUGGUAUAAGGUAAGGCAGAGAAGGGUUCUCAACUAGGGAGGAACCCCUUCCCUCAGUGACAUUUGGCAAUGUCAGGAGACAGUUUUGGUUGUCACAACUGGUGGGAAGGUGCUGUUGGCUUCUAGCGGGUAGAGACCAGGGUUGCUGUUAAGCACCCUACAAUGCACAGAACAGCCCCCCACAAAAAAGGGCCAUCUGUCUCCAAAGGUCAGUAGUGGUGAGGUUGAGAAUCCCCACCAUAGAGAGCAAACUGUACCCUCAAAGACAUAAAUAGGAGUAAAGCUUUGACCUUUGUAAUAUUAAUAUAGCAGUAAUAAACCAAUAAUAUCAAUAUUGAUAUUUCUGUACUAGCAAAACUUUUAAGGAUUUCUUAGGAAAGUUCACUUAAUGGUUGAAUCAUCACAACAAGCCUUUUACAUAGCUACUUUUAUCAUCUGUAUUUUACAUACAGUGAGAAUAAGGUUCAGGGAGGUCAGUGCCUGUCCCAAUCCACAGACACUAGUGAAUGUCCUGCUGUCCAAGGAGACCCUGGUAUUCCUCUCAGCCAGCUGUCCUUCUGUUUUACUGCCUCUCCGUCCUUGCCAUGGGUGAAGUCUGUACAAGCCGCUCAGCGGGAGCCUGUCCGGACUUCCGGAGCCCACUGGACGUCGCAGCUGCCCAGUGACUUGGGGACCUGGGGUAACCAAACCCUCCCUUGCCUCUCUGUGGCAGAUCUGGCGUCCGCAUUGGAUUCCCCCGCCAACGGCUGCGGGGGGGCUCUCCGGGUGGAGCCCAGGCCGAGGCGCCCAGGUUGGUACUGAGCCCUUUCAAGGCAGGGCCGGGUGGAGAGCGCAAAAGCGGCAGCAAAAGCAGGCCGGGGUCUCAUUGUCCGGUGGGGACGCGUGGGGCGAGGAGAGGACCAGGCCACUGGGCCUCAUCAGUCGCUGCGAGAAGGGAGCCUGGUGUUUUCCUUCUCAGUUGUUGACUCCUCAAGCCUGGAAUGGGGGUCUCCCGCCCGGUCUGUGAGCGGAUGGACCACCGGGCCGGGCUUCCCCGCAGGGCUGGGCACGGGCCUUUGGUUACCAGGCGCGGAGUGCGUUUCCGGGCGUGCGGUUCGGAGCAGGUCCCCUGGGCGGCCAGACUGCGCCGCCACCGUGAGCGUCUCCCCCGGUGCGCACUCCUCGGUCGGGACCUGUGCGACGAAACCCGGGAUCCAGCCCGGUCAGGCGGCCUCAGAGCGGGCGGCCCCUCGGGACCCGGAGCCCGGCUUUCGGGUGUCAGGCGCAGAGGCCCGCCCGGAAGUGGGGCGCGGAAGUCGUGCCUCCUCUCAUUCAUGCUCAGCUCCCUCCCAACACUUCCGCU
rnacentral:lncRNA from 1 species